CAUUAAUUUGGUGUUGCAGGGAAUCUGGACUGUUACUUUGAAAAAAUUAGUGUGUUUAAAGCAGGCUAACGCUUGAAUACAUUAUGAAAUAGGACGUUCGAUCCUAUUGUUGGUUUCUAGGAUUGACGUAAUGAUUAAUAGGGAUAGUUGGGGCAUUAGUAUUCAAUUGUCAGAGGUGAAAUUCUUGGAUUUAUUGAAGACUAACUACUGCGAAAGCAUUUGCCAAGGAUGUUUUCAUUAAUCAAGAACGAAAGUUACGGGAUCAAAGACGAUCAGAUACCGUCAUAGUCUUAACCAUAAACUAUGCCGACUAGGGAUCGGAUGAUGUUAAUUUUUAAUGACUCAUUCGGCGCCUUACA
rnacentral:rRNA from 1 species